UGACUACAAACCUAAAAUCAUCCAUGCAUGGUUAGCCAUAGUGUGUAGUGUAUUUAAUAUAGUAAACGAAUAACUAUGAAGAGCAUAAAGGAACAAUAUCAGAGUAAUUUAUUAAUGCAAUUGGUAAAGGUAGCUGUACUAACAGUUGCACUUAGCCAUGUUAUAGUAUUAAUAAAAGCAAACAGGCCUGUAGGUAGUCAUCCAGGACAUGUUUAUUUCGAACAGCCUUGCUGUGGAAGAGCACAUCUUAGACAUCACAAAGAGCACGUUCGCGAAUUCAAUUGUGGAAUGCUUUACUACAGAACUCUUUACCUAGAUAACAAGAGAGACGUCUUAUAUGUUGGAGCAAUGGAUAAAAUUUUUAAGUUGAAUUUGAGUAAUAUUAGCUACUCCAGUUGUGAGAAAGAUGCUCUUAAUUUGGAACCGAGCAAUAUAGCUAAUUGUGUAUCAAAAGGCAAAUCAGAUCACUUUGACUGUCGAAAUCAUAUUAGAGUGAUACAACCAAUGGAGGAUGGCAAUCGAUUAUAUGUGUGUGGUACAAACGCCCAUUCUCCAAAAGAUUGGGUCAUAUAUAGUAAUCUCACUCACUUAUCACGACAUGAAUUCGUGCCAGGCGUGGGUAUGGGUAUUGCGAAGUGUCCUUACGAUCCUGCCGACAAUUCAACAGCUGUUUGGGUUGAAAAAGGAAAUCCAGGAGAUUUACCAGCUCUUUAUUCCGGAACUAAUGCUGAAUUCACCAAAGCUGAUACGGUUAUUUUUCGUACCGAUCUUCUCAAUUUUACCACAGGCCGUAAAGCUUACAGCUUUAAAAGAACACUUAAAUAUGAUUCAAAAUGGCUAGAUAAACCAAACUUCGUAGGCUCUUUUGACAUUGAUGACCACGUUUUCUUCUUCUUUAGAGAAACAGCUGUAGAGUACAUCAAUUGUGGCAAAAAUGUGUAUUCACGUGUCGCUCGAGUUUGUAAAAGAGACACUGGUGGUAAAAAUAUUCUUUCACAAAAUUGGGCAACCUAUUUAAAAGCAAGACUUAAUUGCUCGAUUCCAGGAGAAUUUCCAUUUUAUUUUAAUGAAAUACAAAGCAUCUACAAAAUACCGAACGAUAACACGCGUUUUUAUGGAAUAUUCACAACAGCAAUAAAUGGUUUAAUAGGAUCAGCUAUUUGUUCUUUUCACAUUGAUGCCAUCCAAGAAGCCUUUCGUGGCAAAUUUAAAGAACAAGCAACGAGUAGCAGUGCCUGGUUACCAGUGCUUUCCAAUAAAGUUCCAGAACCUCGACCAGGACAAUGUGUUAAUGAUACUGAAACAUUACCCGAUACCGUACUUAACUUUAUUCGUUCACACCCACUAAUGGACUCAGCAGUAUUACACGAAAAUGAAAAACCAGUAUUUUACAAACGAGAUAUUAUACUUACAAGAUUAGUAGUAGAUAAGGUGUCAAUUAAUUUUAUUGGAAUCGAUUUUAAAUAUAUUAUAUAUUAUGCCGGAUCCAGUGAUGGAAGAGUUUAUAAAAUUGUGCAGUGGAUGGAUAACGAUGAACAGUCCCAAUCAAUUUUGUUAGAUAUAUUCGAUGUCACACUAGGAGAAGCGAUCCAGGCAAUGGAAAUAUCACAGGAGCAUAAAGCUCUUUACGUGGCAUCUGAUCAUAGAAUAAAACAAAUAGAUUUAGUUAUGUGCUCUAGACGAUAUGAUAAUUGCCUAAGGUGUGUCCGUGAUCCGUAUUGUGGAUGGGAUAAGGAUACAAAUGUUUGCAAACCAUACAUUCCAGGUUUGUUACAGGAUGUAUCAAAUAAUACAGUAGAUGUGUGUGAUAGUAGCAUAGGUAAACGUAAACUAAUGGUAACUUGGGGGCAGGCAGUGCAUUUAAGUUGCUUUAUUAAAAUGCCAGAAGUAUUGACGAAUCAAGAAGUUAGAUGGUAUCAUUAUAGCAAAGAAAAAGGUCGCUAUCAAAUUGCUUACAAGUACAGUAUCACAAGUGAUAAAUUUAUUGAAACAUCAGAGAAGGGAUUAGUAAUUAUUGGUGUAAACGAAUAUGAUGCUGGUAGAUAUGAUUGCUGGUUAGGAAGUACGUUACUUUGCUCAUAUAAUAUUUCCGUGGAUGCGCAUAGAUGUUUAGCACCUGCAAAAUCUAACGAUUAUCAAAAGAUAUACUCAGACUGGUGUCAUGAAUUUGAAAAGUAUAAAUCUGCAAUGAAAAGCUGGGAGAGAAAACAAGCACAAUGUGUAUUCAAGCAAAAUGAUAGUAACCAGAAUCUCCAUACGAAUGAAGUGUAUGGAACACCAUUAGUCUGAUAGAAACGUUCAUUGAUGCCCUAAUCAAAUCAAAAUGAGAAAGCGAAUUUGAUUUUGGAUAUUCUAUCAUAUUACUGUACAAGUAAUUUACAAAUUGAGCAUUUUUGGAAAUUGUAUUUGUAUGCUACAUUAUUUGGAAUACAUUCAUUUCACUGAUCCAACAUAAAUAAGCAACAUCAAAUAAAAAAACCGAAAGGCUAAAAAUAUGAUAU